GGUCCUCUCCAAUUUUUCUUUUUCAGUUUCUCACAAACAGAACCAACACUCCUCUCCCACACUCCCUCAUUCUCCCACUGGUACCCACUCCUCACCACCAUCUCCACCAUCAUUUUUCCAGCAAGAUCACCAAAAAAAACUCCUUAGGAACCUUUGCCUCUUCCUCUCUUUUAUUUGAGUAGGUUGAUGAGUCUCGAAUGAUGAUGAUCUUUGGGCUGUAUCCUGUAAACAAGAACACUGAAUCAGAGGAGACCGGUGGGGACCGGCCAAAAGUCCUUCGAUGGUGAAGUUAGUGAACUUGGAAUUCUCUGUAAGAAGGGAGUAUUUUCUUGAAUAAAAAUGUCUGAAUACCUUACCUCUCAUCGAAGAAUCCUUAUAUAGUAUGUGUGGAACGGUUAUCUGCUUAAUAACCAUUCCUAAUGUCGAGGAGUCCGGAGAAUUGGGGGUAACUUCCAUAAUCGCUAUGGAAAUUACCUCAGUUGGACGGCUCGUUCCAUAGUAGUUAAUGUAGAAUUUGGCACUUAGUAGUUUAAUCCAGUGAACUCGUCCAUCUUUCAUUAAGGACGGACGACACUAUCUAGGAUGGCUUGUCCUUAUCCAAAUGAUUAAGGAUGGAUAAGAUUCCCAUGGGAUCUCGUCCAUCCAAAGACAGACGAGGUUAGCAAGGACGCUUGGUAUGGUCACUUUGCUUGUCUGGUUCGUCCUAGCUUGUCUUUAAUUGGACGAGCCAUAUGGACGAGUUCAGGAGUUGAUGUUUUUUGUCACCAUCAAAAUUAUCAUGAAAAUUCUUGAUGUUGGUACUUGGUAUGAA